AGAGUUUGAUCAUGGCUCAGAACGAACGCUGGCGGCGCGCCUAAUACAUGCAAGUCGAGCGAGAAGGUGUAGCAAUACACUUGUAAAGCGGCGAACGGGUGAGGAAUACAUGGGUAAUCUACCAUCGAGUGGGGAAUAACCAGCCGAAAGGUUGGCUAAUACCGCGUACGCUUCCGGGUCUUCGGAUUCGGAAGGAAAGCCACACUGUGAGUGUGGCGCUCUUUGAUGAGCUCAUGUCCUAUCAGCUUGUUGGUAGGGUAACGGCCUACCAAGGCUUUGACGGGUAGCUGGUCUGAGAGGACGAUCAGCCACACUGGCACUGCGACACGGGCCAGACUCCUACGGGAGGCAGCAGUAAGGAAUAUUGCGCAAUGGGCGAAAGCCUGACGCAGCGACGCCGCGUGGGGGAUGAAGGUCUUCGGAUUGUAAACCCCUUUCGGGAGGGAAGAUGGAGCGAGCAAUCGUUCGGACGGUACCUCCAGAAGCAGCCACGGCCAACUUCGUGCCAGCAGCCGCGGUAAUACGAAGGUGGCAAGCGUUGUUCGGAUUCACUGGGCGUACAGGGUGUGUAGGCGGUUUGGUAAGCCUUCUGUUAAAGCUUCGGGCCCAACCCGGAAAGCGCAGAGGGUACUGCCAGGCUAGAGGGUGGGAGAGGAGCGCGGAAUUCCCGGUGUAGCGGUGAAAUGCGUAGAGAUCGGGAGGAAGGCCGGUGGCGAAGGCGGCGCUCUGGAACAUACCUGACGCUGAGACACGAAAGCGUGGGGAGCAAACAGGAUUAGAUACCCUGGUAGUCCACGCCCUAAACUAUGGAUACUAAGUGUCGGCGGGUUACCGCCGGUGCCGCAGCUAACGCAUUAAGUAUCCCGCCUGGGAAGUACGGCCGCAAGGUUGAAACUCAAAGGAAUUGACGGGGGCCCGCACAAGCGGUGGAGCAUGUGGUUUAAUUCGACGCAACGCGAAGAACCUUACCCAGGUUGGACAUGCACGUAGUAGAAGGGUGAAAGCCUAACGAGGUAGCAAUACCAGCGUGCUCAGUGCUGCAUGGCUGUCGUCAGCUCGUGCCG
rnacentral:rRNA from 1 species